GUUUCGAGUGAAGAAAUGAAAUAGAUUCAUAGAAAGAUAUUUGGGGAUUUCUCAUCCAGAAGGGUUUAGAAUAACAGCCAGUCAUCCAACAAUAUGUCUAGCCAGAAUUGGAACUCAAAAAAUCAAAAUGCAAGAAUGAUACAAGUGAAUGUGACGUUUGAAGAGAUAAGCAUUGCCUACCAGUUGAACGAAGAGAAACUUUUUCCUAUCAUAUUCAAUUAUGCAAUAUCAAAGUAUAAAAUCAUUCUGAAGGUUGCACUCUUAAAUAAUUUGAUUGAAUGGUGAUUUGUAGAGUUGCCAUGGUAACAAUCAGUACACAAUAUUAUAAACCUUGA